UCCUGACUGACCGAUAGUGAACCAGUACCGUGAGGGAAAGGCGAAAAGAACCCCGGCGAGGGGAGUGAAAAAGAACCUGAAACCGUGUACGUACAAGCAGUGGGAGCACGCUUAGGCGUGUGACUGCGUACCUUUUGUAUAAUGGGUCAGCGACUUAUAUUCUGUAGCAAGGUUAACCGAAUAGGGGAGCCGAAGGGAAACCGAGUCUUAACUGGGCGUUAAGUUGCAGGGUAUAGACCCGAAACCCGGUGAUCUAGCCAUGGGCAGGUUGAAGGUUGGGUAACACUAACUGGAGGACCGAACCGACUAAUGUUGAAAAAUUAGCGGAUGACUUGUGGCUGGGGGUGAAAGGCCAAUCAAACCGGGAGAUAGCUGGUUCUCCCCGAAAGCUAUUUAGGUAGCGCCUCGUGAAUUCAUCUCCGGGGGUAGAGCACUGUUUCGGCAAGGGGGUCAUCCCGACUUACCAACCCGAUGCAAACUGCGAAUACCGGAGAAUGUUAUCACGGGAGACACACGGCGGGUGCUAACGUCCGUCGUGAAGAGGGAAACAACCCAGACCGCCAGCUAAGGUCCCAAAGUCAUGGUUAAGUGGGAAACGAUGUGGGAAGGCCCAGACAGCCAGGAUGUUGGCUUAGAAGCAGCCAUCAUUUAAAGAAAGCGUAAUAGCUCACUGGUCGAGUCGGCCUGCGCGGAAGAUGUAACGGGGCUAAACCAUGCACCGAAGCUGCGGCAGCGACGCUUAUGCGUUGUUGGGUAGGGGAGCGUUCUGUAAGCCUGUGAAGGUGUGCUGUGAGGUAUGCUGGAGGUAUCAGAAGUGCGAAUGCUGACAUAAGUAACGAUAAAGCGGGUGAAAAGCCCGCUCGCCGGAAGACCAAGGGUUCCUGUCCAACGUUAAUCGGGGCAGGGUGAGUCGACCCCUAAGGCGAGGCCGAAAGGCGUAGUCGAUGGGAAACAGGUUAAUAUUCCUGUACUUGGUGUUACUGCGAAGGGGGGACGGAGAAGGCUAUGUUGGCCGGGCGACGGUUGUCCCGGUUUAAGCGUGUAGGCUGGUUUUCCAGGCAAAUCCGGAAAAUCAAGGCCGAGGCGUGAUGACGAGGCACUACGGUGCUGAAGCAACAAAUGCCCUGCUUCCAGGAAAAGCCUCUAAGCAUCAGGUAACAUCAAAUCGUACCCCAAACCGACACAGGUGGUCAGGUAGAGAAUACCAAGGCGCUUGAGAGAACUCGGGUGAAGGAACUAGGCAAAAUGGUGCCGUAACUUCGGGAGAAGGCACGCUGAUACGUAGGUGAAGCGACUUGCUCGUGGAGCUGAAAUCAGUCGAAGAUACCAGCUGGCUGCAACUGUUUAUUAAAAACACAGCACUGUGCAAACACGAAAGUGGACGUAUACGGUGUGACGCCUGCCCGGUGCCGGA
rnacentral:rRNA from 1 species